GUGGGGAAUCUUGCGCAAUGGGCGAAAGCCUGACGCAGCCAUGCCGCGUGAAUGAUGAAGGUCUUAGGAUUGUAAAAUUCUUUCACCGGGGACGAUAAUGACGGUACCCGGAGAAGAAGCCCCGGCUAACUUCGUGCCAGCAGCCGCGGUAAUACGAAGGGGGCUAGCGUUGCUCGGAAUUACUGGGCGUAAAGGGCGCGUAGGCGGACAGUUUAGUCAGAGGUGAAAGCCCAGGGCUCAACCUUGGAAUUGCCUUUGAUACUGGCUGUCUUGAGUACGGGAGAGGUGAGUGGAACUCCGAGUGUAUAGGUGAAAUUCGUAGAUAUUCGGAAGAACACCAGUGGCGAAGGCGACCACCUGGCUCGGUACUGACGCUGAGGCGCGACAGCGUGGGGAGCAAACAGGAUUAGAAACCCGAGUAGUCC
rnacentral:rRNA from 1 species